rfam:Metagenome sequence 3634300_fasta.screen.Contig3294, whole genome shotgun sequence.
AAAAUCCUCUGCUCGGAAAGAGCUAGCAACUCGCCGAGACUCCGAGUCAUGGGCUGUUUAUCGUAAGGUAACCGGUUAAGCGUUGACAGGGGAAAGUGCAGGCUCAGUAUUGAGCUCCGAAAUCAUGACUUGAGUAGGCAGACCUUGUAGGGUGAAGGGGAAUGCAAUAUUAACUGUUGCGCUAUUUGCGAGCGACAAUUUAGCUGCUCCGGAGUCCUAGACCU